rnacentral:tRNA from 2 species
AAGGGAGACCUAAUUCAGGUAGGAGACGAAAAAAAAGUAGUCGCUACCAAGAAUCAAUCCCAAAAGGUCGGAGCGAGGCGAAAUUGGCUUUCAAACUAGGUUCUGGGUUCACACAAGACCUGAAUCAGGAACAAGGGCUAUUAGCUCAGGUGGUUAGAGCGCACCCCUGAUAAGGGUGAGGUCCCUGGUUCGAGUCCAGGAUGGCCCACCUGCACAGGUGGCAAAAACAAGAGAAGCGAGGAAUCAGCACCUUAUCUUAUCUAUAUAUAUAUAGGAGAGAAUGCUGGCUCUGAGUAAAGAGUCCAGAGGAACCUUGAAAACUGCAUAGAGCUAGGUGAAAAAGCCAAAAAAGAAGACCGCAA